GAGGUUAAUUUGUGUAUCACUGAAUUGUAUGAUUUUUUCAGGAUCAGCUGAGAUGUUAUUUCACUGGAUUAUUUAAUGGAUAGGCUUAUUGGGCAUAUGGUUGGAUAUCUCUGGAUCAGCUGAGAUGUUAUUUCACUGGAUUAUUUAAUGGAUAGGCUUAUUGGGCAUAUAGUUGAAUAUCUCUGUCCUCAACCUGGAAGAUAUGUUUUGUUCCUAACCAUCUAUAAUCCAUUCUCUAUGAAGUUCAGACUGUCUGCUCUUCCUUUGGAAAUACACAGUUAGUCAAUCAACAUAGAAACACACAAACUUGAAGGAUAUUCUAGUGAAGGCUUGUGGAAAUGAUCUAUGUCUACUCUCAGAAUGGUGAAAGACUAUCAGAUCAUUCAAAGACUAACAGAAUAUCCUCUCUUGGAACACUGAAACAAGAAAAUCAAACAGGAGGAGGAUGGAGGAUUUAAGAAGAACAAUAUGAUUUCCAACUAAUUUAACCAGUACGAUCAUAGACUGUGGUUAACAGGAUGACAAAGAAAGGACCCAGGAUUGUAUCUUUUACUGUCAGACACUGACUAUGGAUAAAGUGUAAUCAUUUAUCAAACUGAGAUCUAGUCAAUCAAGUAUUGAAAAUAUGAUUUUCUGAUAGCAUGAGCUCUUUAAAAACUAAUUCUCACUGACCUCAAAGUAUGUGAAUGUGACUUUUAUUUUUUACCAUUUCAUAUUGAAGACUGUUGUUAUGUAUGGGAAUUACACAUUAAAACCUUUUAUUUUUCAUCUAAUUUUUACAACCCCCUAGAAAUUAACACAGAUAUCCAGAUGCUGGAUUUAAUGUUAUUAUUUAACUUUCCUGGAAUUGUAAAUAUAUUUUGUUUGUGUAUGUAUCAUGUUUAAUUUUGAAUUUAAAUUGGGUCUCAAUAAGACCCCCAAUAAAGAUGCAAGUGUCCCAUAA